UACAGAGGGGGCAAGCGUUGUUCGGAAUUACUGGGCGUAAAGGGCGCGUAGGCGGCCGCCUAAGUCAGACGUGAAAUCCCUCGGCUCAACCGGGGAACUGCGUCUGAUACUGGGCGGCUUGAAUUCGGGAGAGGAAUGCGGAAUUCCAGGUGUAGCGGUGAAAUGCGUAGAUAUCUGGAGGAACACCGGUGGCGAAGGCGGCAUUCUGGACCGACAUUGACGCUGAGGCGCGAAAGCCAGGGGAGCAAACGGG
rnacentral:rRNA from 2 species